rnacentral:lncRNA from 1 species
UGGUCUUUAUUGUUUCCAAGCUACAUUUAAUCCCAAGGGAAAUUUUAUUCCCUUCAAAAUAUUUCUUCUUUAUUUUUUUUGUUAAAGAUUUUAUUUAUUUAUUCAUGAGAGACAUAGAGGGAGAGAGGCAGAGACACAGGCAGAGGGAGAAGCAGGCUCCAUGCAGGGAGCCCCAUGUGGGACUCCCGGGACUCCAGGAUCAUGCCAUGAGCUAAAGACAGACACUCAACCAUUGAGCCACCCAGGUGUCCCUAUUUCUUCUUUAUUUAUCUCUGUCCAUCAUCAUGCUACCCUCCUGCUUUAUAUCUCAAUCUUUCAACAUAUCAUAUAAUUUUCCAUUUCUUCUUUCAUAGAGCAGUUUCAUGCAUUGUAUUGAGAAUACAAACACAACAGAUGCUUUAUAAAGUACACUUCUUUUUCAUAUUAGUACUCUUUCAAAGACUCUUCAGAGAAACAUAUCUAUCUUUAUGCUAUAUAACCUUGAAAAAAAUAAGUCUAAGAUACAUGACUGAAAUAUACAGUUGAUCCUUGAAUAACAUGUGGGUUAGGGACACCAACCCCUUAUGCAGUAAAAAAUCUACAUAUAACUUUGACUUGCCAAAAGCUUAACUACUAAUAGCCUAUUGUUACCUGGAAGGCUUACUGACAACAAACAGUUUAUUAACAUAUGUUUUGUCUGUAACAUUUAUUGUAUACUGUAUCUUGAAAUAACACCUAACUUUCUUUCUUUUCUUUUCUUUUUUCUUUUUUUGACUAUUUCUAGGCUACAUGGUUUAUCUGCAAAUAUUUUCAAAUUGUUGCAAAUCUACAAAAAAAAAAAAAAACUUACCAAUAUAUUUAUGUAUAUAAGUGAACCUGCACAGGUCAAAUUCUUGUUGUUCAAAGGUCAACGGAAUGUUGUUCUUCAUUCCAUUUCCAUGUAUUCAUCAAGAAUCAAGAAAAUGUUGCCAAUUCUCCUUCUACAUGAAUGAAGUUUUCUAGAUUUGUCGCCCAGGGGAGGUUGUGAGAGGAUUAAGUCAUCAACCAGGCAUGGCAGGACACCCGCUCUUUCCCUCUGAGGAAGGAGAGGACCAGCCUUGGACCUUGAAACAGCAAUCUUGUAGCAGCAAGAAGACAUCAUCUCUCACAUUAAAUUAAGGAUGCUAAUGUGAAAUGGACUGGUCUUGUUUUCUCGGUAUUUAAUUUUUAAGUCUCUUUGGUUUUAUAAAAGAGCAAAAAGAAUAAGGACUUUUUUUUACUAAGAUGUCUGUUUGUAAAUAUUUAAUUUGCAUUUGAAUAAAAAUAACUUAGGUAACGCUAGAGAUCCUUGAGAAGUUUUUUUUUUUUUUUUAAAGAUUUUAUUUAUUUAUUCAUGAGAGACAGAGACACAGGCAGAGGGAGAAGCAGGCUCCAUGCAGGGAGCCUGACGUGGGACUCGAUCCCAGAUCUCCAGGAGUCGAUCCCAGAUCUCCAGGAUCACGCCCUGGGCUGCAGGCGGCGCUAAACCGCUGAGCCAUCCAGGGAUCCCUGAUCCUGGAGAAGUUUAAUGAAGGGAUCUGCACAUUACUUGGGUUUGAGAAACAUGGUUGAGGUGUCUUUUUCCUCAGACUUUCACACUGGCUUUUCUGCCCUCUGUUUUCUCUCUGCUCUGGUUAAUUAAUUAGUUAAUUAACAUCUUCUUUACUUAUUUUAAGUAACCUCACAUAGGGCUUGAACUCAUAGCCCCAAAGUCAAGAGCCACAUGCUUUGCAAAUGGAGCUAGCCAGGCCACUCUCUGCUCUCAUUUAUAUCCUUUAACCAGGGGCCAGAAAGCUUUUUCCAUAAAAAGUACAUUAGUAAAUAUUUUAAAUGAUCUCUGUUAUUUAGCAUGAGGCAUAAACUAUGGGUGUGGCUGGGUUCCACUAAAACUUUAUUUAUAGACACUGAAAUCUGAAUUUCAUAUAAUUUUCAUGUGCCAUGAAAUCUUCUUUUGGAUCAUUUUCAACCACCUAAAAUUGCAAAAAAAAAUUUUUUCUUAGCUCAUGAGACAUAAAAAGAUGAGGGCCUGGAUUCGGCCCACAGGCCAUAGUUUGCCACCCUGUUCUUAUUAUCAAUCAAUGUAUCUUUCUAAAAAGUCAUUUUUAUUGUGUUCCUACUUAGAAAUCUGCGCUUGGAUCUGGGUUUUGUUCUUGUUUUUUUUUUUUUAAUAAGAUUAAGUCCAUUCACCUAGGCGUAGCAUUUCAGCCAUUAGGAUAUUUUUCCAAUCCUAUUUUCUUCCACAGUCUUCCAUAAAAAAAAAAAAAAUCUAUGUUCAGGCAUGCCUGGAUGGCUCAGCAGUUUAGCACCUGCCUUUGGCCCAGGGUGUGAUCCUGGAGUCCUAGGAUUGAGUCUCACGUUGGGCUCCCUGCGUGGAGCUUGCUUCUCCCUCUGCCUGUGUCUCUGCCUCUCUCUGUGUCUCUCAUGAAGAAAUAAAAUAAAAUCUUUAAAAAAAAAAAACCUAUGUUCAAAAUACAUUGAAUUUAUUAUUUUUUCCCAGCUAUUCUGUUUUUUCUCCUCCAUGUCAUCUUGCCUUUUCCUUGUGGUCUUAUCACCCCAGAAUGACUGCGUCUCAUUCUUCACCUAGCAAAGCCCGAAAUGUUCUUCCUGAGCCCGCUCUCCUGCAUGUCGUCCUGGGGUGCACGGCCAGCUAGCCUCUCCCUCCCCACUGUCACAUAACACUUAGUACUCCCAUCAAAGUAGCCCUUGUGAUGAGUUCUCAUGGUUUCUCGGAG